GAUGAACGCUGGCGGCGUGCCUAAUACAUGCAAGUCGAGCGAACAGACGAGGAGCUUGCUCCUCUGACGUUAGCGGCGGACGGGUGAGUAACACGUGGAUAACCUACCUCUAAGACUGGGAUAACUUCGGGAAACCGGAGCUAAUACCGGAUAAUAUAUUGAACCGCAUGGUUCAAUAGUGAAAGACGGUUUUGCUGUCACUUCUAGAUGGAUCCGCGCCGGAUUAGCUAGGUGGUAAGGUAACGGCUUACCAAGGCAACGAUGCGUGGCCGACCUGAGAGGGUGAUCGGCCACACUGGAACUGAGACACGGUCCAGACACCGACGGGAGGCAGCAGUAGGGAAUCUUCCGAAAUGGGCGAAAGCCUGACGGAGCAACGCCGCGUGAGUGAUGAAGGUCUUCGGAUCGUAAAACUCUGUUAUUAGGGAAGAACAAAUGUGUAAGUAACUAUGCACGUCUUGACGGUACCUAAUCAGAAAGCAACGGCUAACUACGUG
rnacentral:rRNA from 1 species